rnacentral:rRNA from 1 species
UACGUAGGCAGCAAGCGUUGUUCGGAGUUACUGGGCGUAAAGGGUGUGUAGGCGGUUGUUUAAGUUUGGUGUGAAAUCUCCCGGCUCAACUGGGAGGGUGCGCCGAAUACUGAAUGACUAGAGUGCGGGAGAGGAAAGUGGAAUUCCUGGUGUAGCGGUGAAAUGCGUAGAUAUCAGGAGGAACACCUGUGGCGAAAGCGGCUCACUGGACCAUAACUGACGCUGAUGCACGAAAGCGUGGGGAGCGAACAGG